AUACGUAGGGGGCGAGCGUCGUCCGGAAUGAUUGGGCGUAAAGGGCGCGUAGGCGGCCCGGUAAGUCUGGAGUGAAAGUCCUGUUUUUAAGAUGGGAAUUGCUUUGGAUACUGUCGGGCUUGAGUGCAGGAGAGGUAAGUGGAAUUCCCAGUGUAGCGGUGAAAUGCGUAGAGAUUGGGAGGAACACCAGUGGCGAAGGCGACUUACUGGACUGUAACUGACGCUGAGGCGCGAAAGUGUGGGGAGCAAACAGGAUUAGAUACCCUGGUAGUCCACACUGUAAACGAUGAAUGCUAGGUGUAGGGGGUAUCGACCCCUUCUGUGCCGCAGUCAACACAAUAAGCAUUCCGCCUGGGGAGUACGGCCGCAAGGUUGAAACUCAAAGGAAUUGACGGGG
rnacentral:rRNA from 1 species